CACACUGUCUCCUGUCAGCUUUCUCUCCCUCCCCCGGCCCUCCUGCUGAUGAGAGACAGGAGCGAUGGAUGGUCUGAGUUAGCGGGGUCCCGGCACCACCCAGCGCAAAGGCACUGCACUCACGCACGCCAUGCACAUGCUGGCUCACCUCCUCCAUCCCAUGCCUCCCCUGUCUCCAGCAUUCCCUCUGGAAUACAUCAGCACUGUUGCCUUUGAGGCUGGCCUGCUUGAAUGCACACCUGAGCUCCGGAUUCACAGGGACUCAUGAUGUGACAGAGCUGGAUCGUGACACCUGGUGCUGGUUCUACCACUGGAAUCCUUAACUUCUGGAUGGGCCUCAGUUUUCUUUUCUGGGAAAUGGGGACAAUGUUGGGAAAAUCUUCUUCUUCUUCUUCUUUUUUU
rnacentral:lncRNA from 1 species